rnacentral:lncRNA from 1 species
CUUUGGGUCCGCCAUGGCUUUUUCAAAGGCACCACCCUUGGUCGCUGUGCCGUACGGCGCAGGUCAGGUAGCAUUUUAGUUUCCAUUCGAUUUUCCCCAUCCUCGAAGUUGGGCUCCUAAAGCUUAUACAGAAAUAUGGGGUUUUCCACUUGAAUUUUCAGCGGGAAAAAGUCCGCUACUUGAGGGGCUACGGUGCGGUUGUGGCCUCGGCUUGCAGACUGCCAUGGACGUGCAUUGCUCUCUUGAGCGGACCUCGGUGGCCUUAAUGAACUGAUUUUGUGUGCCUAAUACCGCCAUCGACGUUUCUUAGGUAUUAUUGUCGUCCGGAACAUUUCAAAAGGUCAUAAGUAGCCUUCCUUACGCCCGAAGCAAAUCAGCGCUUGCACCCCCUGCGUUUACCCUCUCUGUGCUCCCAGCACGUCCUCCGACAGCAGUCUUGUGAAUAUCCCUGGGCCCCGAGCCCCACCAAUGAGCCAGCAUGUACAGAGCGCCAACAAGACCAAAUUGAAGCUGCUACAUGACAAACGUUUCAGUGGCGGGCAAUCUUGCUUCUAACGCAUCGAAAUAUGGCUGAAUCACUAAGCCAUAUAGUAACGGUAUAAGCUUGAGGUUUGGAUGACGCUGAUGACCUAUUAAAUACUAACAUUUUCUGGACUUGUGCACUUUACUUUUGCAAGCAGUCCAUGCCUAACGUUAUUGAGCAAACGCAGAACACAAAU